CAGGGGAGAAGAUUACACAGCUGGUUUCAUUAAUCACUACUACUCUGGUAAGCUGUGGGAAGCAGGAAGGAUCUGGGUCCUCUGUAAGCCAAAAUUCUUGAAGCUGGGAGAAUGAGGUAUUCUCUGGAGAGGCAAGGAAUCUUGGAGAACUGGAAACAGACUGAAUCAUAAAGGAGAAGAUCACUAUGACACCAAGGAGACAUACUUAAAUAGCAGAAUUACAUGAAGGAUUUAUAUUCAACUUGGUGAGCGAGACCAUUCCUUGAGAACGUGGGCUCAUUCUCCUGGAUUUGCAGAGGCUUGUUUUACUGGACUGGAGCCUUUUACAACUGUGUGUCCAAGUCUGCUCUAUGGAAUUGCAUGUUCACUCCUCACCUAAUGGAAAAAAAAUAACUGCCAGAAGGUGCAUUCCUCCUUUUGUAGGAUGGAAUGAGCUAUCCUCAGAAAGAUCUCACUUUCUAUUAUGGAAAGAGUGUAGAGAAUGAGAGUAGAUACAAUUCUGACUUGUGUGUGUUUAUAGGAGAACCAAGUGACCAUAGGUUUUGGAUGUAUGCAAAUCCAAAAAUCUUGUAAGCUGGCAAUAAAUGAAGUAAAAAGUUCAAGAGAUUUUGUUACCUAUUAAAAUGGGAUUGUCUGCCUCAGUGUUUAAAGAUUUUCUGUGAGAUUUAACUGAAGGACUGCAACCAAUUAGUUAAAGAUUAGACUAUGGACUAAACAGGGCUUAGGUCUUUUCAGUGUUGCUUGUCUCAGUGUUAAUUGCUUGUCCACAUUUUAAUUUCCUUCAGUGUAAAUAAUGAUGAUAAUGUAUAAAUCAAAAUGAUCUUCUGUAACGUAAUUCAGGAAGAAUUAUUGAUUGCUAGACUGUGUUUGGAUUGAACUACUUUUGACAAAUAGGAAUGUCAAGAUUUGUUUUCAUAAGACAAGUAGCUGAGCCUUUGAUAUCUGAUUUGAAGUAUUUGUCUAUAUAACACAUAUCAGUAAAGCAACUUGUAUCCAGUUUGUAGCUGAGAAACUGGCAUAUUUUAUGGCUGAUAUAAUUGAUUUAGAAACUGACUUACCAGAUUGUCCUAUGUACACUAGAGAGGAAUGGGGCUGCUGUAAUGUGCCAGGGUGGGGGAAGAAUGGAGACUUAUUCUUGGAAAUGUUCCGAUGUUUUGUAGAAGCGUUUAGAGAAGCCACAGGAAUGCCAGGAUUAAAAGCUUGAAUACAGAAUAAAAUCUUUAAGAGAUGGUGAUGGAUUUCUUAGUUCUUUUAUUAAGAUUACAUACUGAGCUGUAUUUAGUACAGGUUACCAUCAUUUCCAAAAGUUUCAGUCAAAUCUGAGAAGGGACUGAAUGAAAAGGGCUGUGAGAUGAAACUAAUUCUAAAAAGAAUAUGAAGAUUGGCUAAAACUUUUAGUCUUAUGAAAGAAUAAUAUGUGUUUGUUUAUAAGCUGUAUAAGAUCUUAGAUCCUAUACCCAAAUCUGUAUUUCUAUCAUGGUG